UAGAUUGGAUUUACGUUUGCGUGGCAUAU
rnacentral:piRNA from 1 species